rnacentral:rRNA from 1 species
AUUGAACGCUGGCGGCAUGCUUUACACAUGCAAGUCGAACGGCAGCGCGGGCUUCGGCCUGGCGGCGAGUGGCGAACGGGUGAGUAAUACAUCGGAACGUGCCCAGUAGUGGGGGAUAGCUCGGCGAAAGCCGGAUUAAUACCGCAUACGACCUGAGGGUGAAAGCGGGGGAUCUUCGGACCUCGCGCUAUUGGAGCGGCCGAUGGCGGAUUAGCUAGUUGGUGGGGUAAAGGCCUACCAAGGCGACGAUCUGUAGCUGGUCUGAGAGGACGACCAGCCACACUGGGACUGAGACACAGCCCAGACUCCUACGGGAGGCAGCAGUGGGGAAUUUUGGACAAUGGGCGAAAGCCUGAUCCAGCAAUGCCGCGUGUGUGAUGAAGGCCUUCGGGUUGUAAAGCACUUUUGGCGGGAACGAAAAGGACUGUGCCAAUACCACGGUUCGAUGACGGUACCCGCAGAAUAAGCACCGGCUAACUACGUG